AAUAAUAAUAAUAAUAAUAAUAAUAAAAGAUGUCCAGAGUGGACACUGACUCCAUUCAGUGAGUCGAGUUGCAGGUACCUAACAAAUUAGGUGCCAAGAGGAAUUCUCCUAUGCCGUUCCCCGCAGGCUCCCCAGCAACACAGACUGCAUGACCUCAGUGAGCUGCCUACCGUGUCUGUCACCUGUUGAGAGCUGGAGGACCCCAAAGGGUUAUGUCCUAACCGGGUAUCCAAAAUACGGUCCCCCAAGUUGGGUCCCCUUCUUGGUAGGUGUGAAGCACAGAGACACAACCAAGCCAAAGAGUGGGAAAAGGAAGGGUUUUACUUGCAAAAGUUGGGAGGACACCGGGGACGUGUCCCAAAGCACUAUGGCUCCAGAACAGUGGACGUUUUAAGCUAAGGGUGCAUGCAUAUUCACGAGAAGGAAUUCAGCAUAGAACUGGGCCCAAGUCACCCUAAGCUGACAGGUCCUAGUUGACUGAAGACACGUGGGACAGAAAGGUCAGCAGCAUCAAAGAGGGCCACUUAUGUCCCAUUAGAGUCCCGGGGAGGCCUGGGACAGCUGUGCUCCAUCAGGAAUUUUCUGCACCAAGAAGCCAGCAGACCAGGAGCGGUCCGGGCCAGACGCCAGCCCUGCUGAGGCCGAGGGCUCCCAGCCACAAGCUUUGGGAAUUGGCUGAGCUUGUUUUUUUUUGGGGGGGGGGGGGGGCGGCGGGGGGGCACAGAGAGGAAGCCUCUAUGGGUCUUGCAAAAAGCUGGGGCCGGGUUAACAUUCGGUGUCAGCUAGAAAGCUAAGCUUUCCUCUGUGGGGUAAUAUGCUGUGGUCCCCUCCUGGGGGUGAUGCCCUCUCCUCAGAGCCCCCCAGCCCGCAUUCCCUGAGCCAUGCAACUUCAGACCAGAAGAGUAGCAGAUCCCAUUCAGCUCCUGGGAAACUCCUGCCUCUUUCCACCUAUUCAAAACAGUUCCUGUUUACCAAGUGCCAAGUGUUUGGCCUUCAUUUUAUUUAUUUAUUUGUUUGUUUGUUUGUUUUAUUAUUUGUUUUUGAGAGAGAGACAGAGGGUACAAGUGAGUGAGAGGCAGAGAGAGAGAGAGAGAGAGAGAAUCAGGGUCACCCAAAACGGGGCUGGAGCUCACAAACCAUGAGAUCAUGACCUGAGCUGAAGUCAGAUGCUUAACAGACUGAGCCACCCAGGUGCCCUGGCCUUCAUUUUGUUGAAUCUCCCCAGAAAUUCUCUGAGGUUCGUGUUAUCUCAUUUUACGUACGUACGAAGUGAGGUUUGAGGGGUAAAUGACUUGCCAGCUAGUGAAUGACGAGAUUAGAGCCUGGGUGGCUCCGACCUGCUUCUGCCCUCACACGGGGGCGGGCACUAUAUUUAACAUAUCAGUCCUAUCUGUAGAGGCAAGUUUUGAGACUGCCAUUCUUAUUUUUUUAAUGUUUAUUUUUGAGAGAGAGAGAGAGAGCGCGCAUGCGUGUGCAAGUGGGGGAAGGGCAGAGAGAGAGGGAGACACAGAAUCCGAAACAGGCUCCAGGCUCUGAGCUGUCAGCACAGAGCCUGACGCGGGGCUCGAACCCACAAGCUGUGAGAUCAUGACCUGAGCCGACGUCGGAUGCCCAACUGACUGAGCCACCCAGGUGCCCCCUGCCAUUAUUUUUAAGUGAAUUUGGUCAUUCAAGUGUCCGUUUUUAUUUAUUAUCAUUUUUUAUGUUUAUUUAUUUAUUUUGAGAGAGAGAAAGCACAUGCAAGCUGGGGAGGAGCAGAGAGAGAGGGAAAGAGAAUCCCAAGCAGGCUCCGUGCUGUCAUUGUGGAACCUGAUGUGGGGCUCCAUUCCAAAAACCACGAGAUCAUGACCUGAGCUGAAACCAAAAGUCGGACAUUCAACCAAGUGAGCCACCCAGGUGCCUCCUGGGCCCUGUCCUUCUGCAGGCAGGACCCAGAAUCAAAAAGGCUGAAGAGAGUGAGGAGCAAGAUGAGGGAGACCAGAAGAGGGGCGACUCUUUGAUUCAGCACCAGAAGGAGAAGGGAAGGAGAUAGCAUGUUGGCAGUUGCCCAAAACACGGGUCUGAAAAACCAGGACGGCGGUUUCCAGGACCAUCCAUUUUCAGCAUUUUGAGCAGGCUAGCUUUGACCCUUAGUACACGGUUCCCGGAUGCUCUUUGAGGCACAUGUCUGUCCUUUCAAAGGAUCUGUGUCUUUCUCACCGACUGCUACCCCUGCUUUGGAGCCACUGGGAUGAAACGAAGGUCAAGUUCUGCUCUUGCUGUACCGUCUGGCGGCUGGGACUAUGAA